rnacentral:rRNA from 1 species
UACAGAGGUGGCAAGCGUUGUUCGGAAUUACUGGGCGUAAAGGGCUCGUAGGUGGCCAACUAAGUCAGACGUGAAAUCCCUCGGCUUAACCGGGGAACUGCGUCUGAUACUGGAUGGCUUGAGGUUGGGAGAGGGAUGCGGAAUUCCAGGUGUAGCGGUGAAAUGCGUAGAUAUCUGGAGGAACACCGGUGGCGAAGGCGGCAUCCUGGACCAAUUCUGACGCUGAGGAGCGAAAGCCAGGGGAGCAAACGGG